UACGUAGGGGGCAAGCGUUGUCCGGAAUCAUUGGGCGUAAAGCGCGUGUAGGCGGUUCGGUAAGUCUGCUGUGAAAGCGCCUGGCUUAACCGGGCGAGGUCGGCGGAAACUGCCUCACUUGAGGACGGUAGAGGGGGUGGAAUUCCCGGUGUAGUGGUGGAAAUGCGUAGAGAUCGGGAGGAACACCUGUGGCGAAGGCGGCCCCCUGGGCCGGCCCUGACACUGAGACGCGAAGGCGUGGGGAGCGAACGGG
rnacentral:rRNA from 1 species